rnacentral:rRNA from 1 species
GGGUUGUGAGGUUAAGCGACUAAGCGUACACGGUGGAUGCCCUGGCAGUCAGAGGCGAUGAAGGACGUGCUAAUCUGCGAUAAGCGCCGGUAAGGUGAUAUGAACCGUUAUAACCGGCGAUUUCCGAAUGGGGAAACCCAGUGUGACUCGUCACACUAUCAUUAACUGAAUCCAUAGGUUAAUGAGGCGAACCGGGGGAACUGAAACAUCUAAGUACCCCGAGGAAAAGAAAUCAACCGAGAUUCCCCCAGUAGCGGCGAGCGAACGGGGAGGAGCCCAGAGCCUGAAUCAGCAUGUGUGUUAGUGGAAGCGUCUGGAAAGGCGCGCGAUACAGGGUGACAGCCCCGUACACAAAAGCGCACGUGCUGUGAGCUCGAUGAGUAGGGCGGGACACGUGGUAUCCUGUCUGAAUAUGGGGGGACCAUCCUCCAAGGCUAAAUACUCCUGACUGACCGAUAGUGAACCAGUACCGUGAGGGAAAGGCGAAAAGAACCCCGGCGAGGGGAGUGAAAAAGAACCUGAAACCGUGUACGUACAAGCAGUGGGAGCACCCUUUGGGGUGUGACUGCGUACCUUUUGUAUAAUGGGUCAGCGACUUAUAUUCUGUAGCAAGGUUAACCGAAUAGGGGAGCCGGAGGGAAACCGAGUCUUAAUUGGGCGUUAAGUUGCAGGGUAUAGACCCGAAACCCGGUGAUCUAGCCAUGGGCAGGUUGAAGGUUGGGUAACACUAACUGGAGGACCGAACCGACUAAUGUUGAAAAAUUAGCGGAUGACCUGUGGCU